rnacentral:rRNA from 1 species
GAUGAACGCUGGCGGCGUGCCUAAUACAUGCAAGUCGAGCGAACGGACGAGAAGCGUGCUUCUCUGAUGUUAGCGGCGGACGGGCGAGUAACACGUGGAUAACCUACUUCUAAGACUGGGAUAACUUCGGGAAACCGUAGCUAAUAACGGAUAAUAUUUUGUACCGCAUGGUUCAAAAGUGCAUGACGGUCUUGCUGUCACUUAUAGAUGGAUCCGCGUUGCAUUAGCUAGUUGGUAAGGUAACGGCUUACCAAGGCAACGAUGCAUAGCCGACCUGAGAGGAUGAUCGGCCACACUGGAACUGAGACACGGUCCAGACUCCUACGGGAGGCAGCAGUAGGGAAUCUUCCGCAAUGGGCGAAAGCCUGACGGAGCAACGCCGCGUGAGUGAUGAAGGUCUUCGGAUCGUAAAGCUCUGUUAUUAGGGAAGAACAGAAGUGUAAGUAACUGUGCACAUCUUGACGGUACCUAAUCAGAAAGCCACGGCUAACUACGUG